UACGUAGGUGGCAAGCGUUAUCCGGAUUUAUUGGGCGUAAAGGGAACGCAGGCGGUCUUUUAAGUCUGAUGUGAAAGCCUUCGGCUUAACCGGAGUAGUGCAUUGGAAACUGGGAGACUUGAGUGCAGAAGAGGAGAGUGGAACUCCAUGUGUAGCGGUAAAAUGCGUAGAUAUAUGGAGGAACACCGGUGGCGAAAGCGGCCCUCUGGCCUGUAACUGACACUGAGGCUCGAAAGCGUGGGGAGCAAACAGG
rnacentral:rRNA from 1 species